rnacentral:snRNA from 1 species
GUGCAUGCACAUAUACUAAAAGUGGAAUGAUACAGAGAGGAUUAGCAUGGCCCCUGCACAAGGAUGACACACAAAUUCAUGAAGCUUUCUAUAAUUUU